AUUGAACGCUGGCGGCAUGCCUUACACAUGCAAGUCGAACGGCAGCACGGGAGCAAUCCUGGUGGCGAGUGGCGAACGGGUGAGUAAUAUAUCGGAACGUGCCCGGUCGUGGGGAUAACGUAGCGAAAGCUACGCUAAUACCGCAUACGAUCUACGGAUGAAAGCGGGGGAUCGCAAGACCUCGCGCGAUUGGAGCGGCCGAUAUCAGAUUAGGUAGUUGGUGAGGUAAAGGCUCACCAAGCCGACGAUCUGUAGCUGGUCUGAGAGGACGACCAGCCACACUGGGACUGAGACACGGCCCAGACUCCUACGGGAGGCAGCAGUGGGGAAUUUUGGACAAUGGGCGCAAGCCUGAUCCAGCAAUGCCGCGUGCAGGAUGAA
rnacentral:rRNA from 1 species